AGUACCGUGAGGGAAAGGUGAAAAGCACCCCGACGAGGGGAGUGAAAGAGACCCUGAAACCGAAUGCUUACAAUCAGUCGGAGCCCGCAAGGGUGACGGCGUACCUUUUGCAUAAUGGGUCAGCGAGUUGGUCUGUGCAGCGAGCUUAAGCCGGUAGGCGUAGGCGCAGCGAAAGCGAGUCUGAACAGGGCGUUCAGUACGAUGAAUUAGACCCGAA
rnacentral:rRNA from 1 species